GGACGAGCUGUGUUCUGAGACAGCAAGCACCUUCGCGAGACUUGGCGAGCUUCAGCAUGGCUUACCCUGGCUUAGGGCUCAAGUCGAACAAAACAGGUGCACUUCACACGAUGGACAGAAAUUACGAGUUUCUGCAUGCCCGAGCCGGGCCUGUGUGCGGCGCACACAAUAGCAGUAUACCUAAUUGGCAAA